GGAUGGCAAUAAUUUAUUAUUUGUUUAUAAUGAUCACCCAUAACAAUAUUUUUGAAUUUGGUGUUCUUACUUUUCUAGGAGGUAUGAGUCUAUUGAUUUUCACACAUCUCUGAUGAAACAUCUGAUGGACUGCAAUCACCCAGUAAGCCCACCAUGGGAUGUUAUAUGUUCCCAUCAGUUACACUUUCGGAGUAGGUCUGUUCAAGAUGGACGACGUCGGAGGGGGUUCUCUGUAUGGUGCUGUUGUUUUCACUAGUGAUGGCACGAGGGAACCUUGCGAAAUGGAGCUGGCUUUUGCUGAACAUCAGGGAAAGUAUAUGGCUUCGAUAAUCAAGAGUCUCGUGCAUCCUUAAGUUAUCCAGUCAACCAUAAUGUCCUUCAUAAUUUAAAUCUUCACGAUUACUCUAUUAUGCCCCUCUUGAUUUGAAAAUAUUGCUUUGCGAUUCUUCUUCCCUUCUUCACUUUGAUUUGGCACAUGUCCUAAGCUUUGCACCUUCACUGUCUUAUUUUUGUGUUUAUUAUUUGCUGAAGUACUGUAAAACACUGUACAUGGUUCACAACAAUGGUAUCAUAUCACUAGAAUAAAACAGAUUGUGAUUUUCUUUUUUAAAUUACAUUCCAAGGUACAUUGUAUAUUUCUACGUUAAUCCAAUGUAUGAGUUUGGUUAACGGUGUU